CCAGCUCCCAGCUUUCCGUAAGAGAAGAAAAACAGCUGGCCAAGCUGGACUCCCUUGUUCCGCCCUUGUCUCCUAGUUCUAUGUACUCCCUAUUCUUGGAAAGAAACCCAGCGUCAUUCAUUACACAAGUAGCUACUGAUCUGCUCUGAAGCCUGGCAUUGCUUUAGGCCCUGGGGACAUGACUGUGCUGAGACCAAGUCCUGAAGCAAAGUUCCAGUGGGUGGCAGAGGUCAGAACAAAGACAUGUUAUGUUGUAGUAUGUGGUGUGAUGAGUUCUUUAGGAAAAGGGAGAGGUUAAGGGAAGAGUGUGGCAACUGUUAGCUUAGAUGGACGGUCAGGAGAGGCUACUCCUGAAGGAAGUGAGAGGAUCAGCCAGGGAAGGUGCUUGGGGAAGAGUGCUCCCUUGCAGAAGGAACAGCAAGUGCAAAGGUCCUGGGGAGGGAUGUGCCUGACAAAUUGCAGGAACAGCAAGGAGGCCAGUGUGGCCUGAUUACAAGGAAGGCUGGGAGGCGGCAGAGGGAGCCAGAGUGUCCUUGGGGCCUUGCAAUUUAUGCAGAACAUCUUGAAUUUUGUUCCAAGUUUUCAAAUGUACCCGAACAUCAUGUCGACAUAUCUUGUUCCUUGUAACUUUCUACGUACAAUCAACCAGGCUCUAACCACUGAGCUCAUGGCUCCGUGUGUGAAUAGACAGCAUGGUACUGGCCAUCCGGGUAGAUGGAUGAACAUUUGGGCAGGUCCCAUUCCUCCUUCACAAACACUGGCCCAGGGAACCCCUGCGCAUCUCUGGUGCACACAGCAGACCUAGAACUGCAGGGACACAGGGAGUCUCUAUUCCUGCAACCGCGGGGACAAGGGGUGUUUAUGUUCACUUUUGCUAUGAACUGCAGCCAGCUCUUAGGAGCAGCCAGACUAAUUUACUGCCUGGAGACAGGUCAUGGCCCCACUGUCCACGUUCGUGCGUUUCCUUGGAUUUUUGACGUUCCCAGGUUGCUGCCCCCGCGGUGUGCAUCACCCCCUCCCCCUCCUCGGGCCCCGCCGCAGCACUGGGAACCGGGGUAAAGCCAACUGGCGUCAAUCGGCAGUCACUAAGUCCCGCCGUCCUUGUCCUCAUUCUACCCUGCCUAAUAUGACCCUGGAUUCUGGAACUUCAGUUUCCCGUGGCCUCACUCGGAAUUCCCUGAGCCCUCCCCGCGGUCCUGGUCUCCGCUCCUUCGUGUCCGCGCCCUGGAGCCCCCACCUGAGCAUCUAGCGAGGGGACAGAGACCCCUGGCGACCGAAAAGGAAAAACCAGAGCCGCAGAGAAGUUUGUGAAAAUUAAUAAAGGGAAACUUUCCUGAAAUGGAGUGGCAGCAGCUCUCAAGACUUACCACUAGACUCAAGGGUUGUCAGUUACAGAUCCUCAACAGAAGCAUCAACAGGAAAGAAUCAUCAAUUAUAGGCCUCAACAGAGAAAGCUGGGCAUUGUAUCUCCUACAAGAAACUGACCACCCAGCUACUCCACCAAUGAGAAGCCUUCAUCACCCUGAACGCUUGUCUUUCUCCAAUGAUCUCCUUCAAAACAACCCCUCCCAACUUCCUCCUUCUCCAUAUGAUAAUGUUUCUCUCCUUUGUUGGACUAGCCUAUGGUUGUUUCCCCAGCUUGAAUUGCAGUAUUCUGGUAUUCCCUAAUAAACCCAUUUUUGCUGGGAACAUGAAA